UACGAAGGGGGCUAGCGUUGCUCGGAAUCACUGGGCGUAAAGGGCGCGUAGGCGGCCAUUCAAGUCGGGGGUGAAAGCCUGUGGCUCAACCACAGAAUUGCCUUCGAUACUGUUUGGCUUGAGUAUGGUAGAGGUCAGUGGAACUGCGAGUGUAGAGGUGAAAUUCGUAGAUAUUCGCAAGAACACCAGUGGCGAAGGCGGCUGACUGGACCAUUACUGACGCUGAGGCGCGAAAGCGUGGGGAGCAAACAGGG
rnacentral:rRNA from 1 species